rnacentral:lncRNA from 1 species
GAAGAGAUCUUUUAUGGACCAAGCUCAUCAAGUAUUUUGAGGAAAAGGUUUGGAUGUUCAUGACAACAAAAACAGUGAUAACAACUCCUAUGAUGCCAUGUUUAUCUGCAGCCAUCCACCAGUCAAUAGAGAAAGUCAUGUGCAUGAUCGACUUUUUACAGGAUUUUUCUAUAAGUGCUUCUAGCUGCACUCAAAAAUGGGACAGAGUUAAUGGGACAGCUUAUUUGGCAUGCUGAGUUAAUUAUGACCUGGAUGCAUUUCUGGACAUAUUUUCAGGGAAAAAGGGGCCUUAUUGAAAGAUUGCACUGAUUCUAAAACUUUCCCAUUGGCUUUCUUCCCCCAGUCCAUUUUGAUGAGAGAGAGAGAGAGAGGUUUCAUUUAUGUAUAGGGAAUCCAUGCAUAGGUGACAAGGUGGCAUUCCAAAUGACCUGUUGAUCAUGCUAAAUCUCAAUGGUCAUUAUGUCCUUGCUCAUGACACACUGGAAACAUUCAUUCUCCUGGAGAUUCAUUUUGGCUGCUAGAGGAGGUUGCUGCCCUCUAUCACAUUAUCCUUGAGCAGCAAUCACAGCAACAUUUCGACCAUGAUGAGUUUUGUAGGACGAUGGAAUGGAUCAUUCUCACCAUGGCCUGUGGCCUCAUCUUUUCCCCAUCUAUAUCUGAAUUUUUUUAAGUAGAAACUAAACCCUUUCUUAAGUAUGGAUUGUAUAUAAUUCAUUUAUUCAUCUCUCUUUUUUCUAAGAGGUUGGAAUAUAGGAAACUUAAAAUGUCGGGUCCUGUAGAGGCUCCCAUGAUGAGGCUUAGGAAAAAGGACAAUAGUGCAAUACGCUAUGCCUCAAGUAUCUUGUCCAAACAUGAAGGAAAUGGAAAUUUUUUUUCCAAGGGAUGGGAUGUAAAUAUUUUUAAACAAUACAAGAAAAAGAUUGGAAUAUUGCUUGUAGAAUUCUUUUGUGUGUAGAACAUUUUUUUUCCUUUCAAUUAGUUGGGAAAAUCUUGAGAGAAGUGGUCUGAGAGAAGGAAGGAAAGUUUUGGUCAUGGAAGGGGGAAGAAGGGAAACAGGGUAGAGGCAGGUGAGAGAAGUAAGAAAGCUCUGAUCAUGGAAGGCAGAAGAAGGGAAAGGAGGCAGGGGUAGGCCAUUGCUGAAAAUAAAGUUUUGCAUCCACUGAGAAUUGAAAUUCAAUCAUGCCCUUCAGCUUGCAUCACCACACAAGUUGUGCCAUCAUUUCAUCUGAUAAAUAGGUAACUGGCAUUUUCCUUUUUCUAUCAGAGCUAACCCUUACAUUUGGACUGAAUCUAAAACAUGUGUGUUGGUUCACUAAUAACAGUCUGGAGGAGAGGAGGA